GAAUAUUUAUAAAAAAAGAAGAAGAAUAGAAGUUUACAGAUUAAAAAAAAAGUGUGGGUCGUUGUUGUUGAGCUCAAAGCACCAGAAAAUGAAUAAAAAAAUGAACUUUUUGAGAACUACAAGUUGAAACUGGAAAAAGGCCUAGAC